ensembl:lncRNA
CGUGGAAUCCGUUGAUGACAACUUUCUGGUCCAGGUAGUGGACAGACCAACCAGAGGUGAAGCGUUGCUGGACCUGCUGCUCACCAAUGCAGAAGAGAUCAUCAAAGAUGUCAAUGUUGAAGGCAGCCUGGGCUGCAGCAACCAUGCCCUGGUUGAGUUCGUGAUCUUGAGGGAUGUGGGCCUGACAAAGGGUGGGGUCAGGACCCUGAACUUUGGAAGAGUGAACUUUAAGCUGUUCAAUGGAUUGUUGGCCAAGAUCCCCUAGGAUGCUGUCCUUAAAGAUAAAGAUGUUGAGGAGAGCUGGCCACUCUUCAAGGAUGCCCUCCUGAAAGCACGAGAGGUCUCCAUCCCUCUGAAUAGGAAAGUGGGCAGACGAGACAGGAAACCGGCAUGGCUCGGCAACGACAUGCUGGGCACACUGAGGGCAAAGAAAGGAAUGAUGACAUCAACUGAACAAAAUAUGAACUGAUUGAGGGCUUGUGACUUUUAAGGAUUUAUUUCAAAGGGAAACAGAACAAAUGGAUCACUCAGAGGUGAAUCAUAGAAUCAUCUAGUUUGGAAAAGAUCUUCAAGAUAAUCAGGUCCAAACAUCCACAUAAAGCAUCAAGUCCUGCCUUUUCCUAAAUGCCACAUCCACAUAUCUGUUAAAUACCUCCAGCUUCCAAAGUGUCAAGCAAUAUGUAGGAAAAUCACAGCAGAAAAGGGGAAACACUGAUGGUUGAUUAAGUCAUCUGUAGAGACUUCACACUCAGAAGUCCCCCAGCUGAGUUAUGCCCCUUCGUCACGGAAUUCACACCCCACCCCCUCCACUGACGCAAACUUCAGAGAGCAGCUCCAUGGAGGAUAACCUAAGUGCUGCCUGCAGAGCUAAGUGUGCUGUCCUUGCUUGUUAUUGUAGCAUUGAUAUACAUAUCUUCCUUUCCUCAUUUGUUAUAUCCUAAUGUCAUUAGGACAAGCCUGCAGCAAUUUUAAACGCUGGCUGCACAGCCUCUUUGACGUCAUUACAGAAAGGUCUCGAGUGCAGACCCUGCAUAUACUGUCUGUGAUAUAGUGUAUAAAAAUCCAUGUCAGUGCUGGCUCUCGGGGAGCACUGGAAAUGAUUCAGCUGUCUGGAAUGGGCAGAUGGCUGCUAUCAAAGUUUUAUUAUCACCAUCAUUAUUAUUACAGUGGUUUGUGACACAUGCUGAACUUUAAGACUGGUGUAAAAGCUUAAGUAUUUGAGCAACACUUUCUGAAAUUCAAAUCCUUCAAAUCCUUUCCAAUCUAACUCCAAAAAGCAGGAGUACGUUUCAAGCUAAUUAGACAUAUUGCUUGGUUUCACUUCCAACUUUCAGAGUAAUUAUCUCAAAAUUCUUGUUCUCUUGUAAACGCAAAUGUUCACUAUUUUUAAUUGCCUUGAUUUAUUGCAGAACUUAAAUUCAGUACAUGCUGAAAGUUCAGCAGGGUGGAAAGAAAAUUUGAGUUUGUUUAAGGGAGCACAUGGAUAGGAUUGUGUACUGUGGCCUCUGUUUAGAAAAGCUCAUCGUUAACCUAUGCUAACAGGAACUGCUUGCUGGAGGCAUCCUCUAAAACUAACCAUACCGAGGAGUACAGAAUUAAUUGAUACAGAUUUCUUCAACUUGCAACAUGAACAGAUUUACUUGGAUGUUGUAAGAGUGACAUUUCGUUUUCAUCUCUGUAGCUGCUACCUCUGCUGCUUUGUGUAUUUGAAUAUUUCAGUUCUCACAGGGUUCUCUUCUGACGCAUCAGUAGACGGCUGAAGGUUUUUCUCGGUCAUCCUGAGACUGGCUCAGACUAUGUUAUGUUGGCUGUCUGUCUGUGCUUUGUACUUGUCUUUCGUACGGCCUCCAUGGCUCACCAGCAUGAGGUAUAGAUCAACUACUGCUGCCUAUGCCACUGCCUUUUGUGAUUCCUUUUUGUGGUUAUAUUUAGCCCUGAAUGCUAUGGUAUUGGCUUUUGAAUUCUCUGUUCUGGCCAAGUUUUUUGUUUAAGUUGUUGUCCUUUUAGUUUUACUGUAACUGGUCUGUCAGCAGGGGUCCUCUCAGCACAGUAAUGACUCAUGAACAUAUUUCCAUUUCCAGGAGGGCGUAUUGUGGUUGGCCAGCACUGCUAGGCAGACAUCUUAUCCUUCUUGUUCUGCCUUUACCAUCAACAUCCACAUUAUAAUUUCUCAGGCCAGGCAUCACUUUGUGCUUUUAUUUCUUCCCAAAUCUUUGAAAUCAGCUAUCAGGUACUGUGGACCACUUUUUCAGUAUGGCCUGUUGGAUAUGCAGCCAAAGUGUUUUUGUUUUUGUUUUCCUAAUCUCAUUUUUCUAUAUGUCCUGAAAUUGGGCUAGUAAAUUCUUGUAAUGACAGCAUUUUGGGAAGUGAAAGCAAAGAAUUGGACUUAAUUCUUUUUCAAAAGUAUUCAUUUUCUGUGGUUGUAGCAUUCUCCUGCUGUCAGGUAUCAAGGCAUUUGCCCAGCUUCUACUAGAUAUUUAAAACAGGGCCAGGGUUUUUUUCACCAACUAAGACUGGAUUUAUUCUGAUUUAAAUAACAAAAUUUUGCAUCCAGAUAAGUGUGCAUUAAUUACAGUAAUGGCAUGAAUCAUGGAUUAGGUGAGGUUGGCUGAGGAGGCAUUUCUGGAGGCCAUUUGGGUCAACCUCCACUCAAGCAGGGACACCCAGAGCUGGCGGCCCAGAAGCAUAUCCAGAUGGCAAAGAGACACUCAGUCUAUAGUUCUUGUAACUAACCUACAGAUUCUCCCCACAGUCCAGGGAAAUUACACUUAAGCAGCUUGUAGGAUUUUUAUUGAAAGUCAAAGAUAACUUGAAUUCAAAAGUAGCUAGUGAGAAGCAUGACAGCAAAUAUUUGGAAAGGUCAGUAGACUGCUGGGAUGAUACAAUCUCAGGCAGUGGAACAGGAGUAAGAGAAAAGAGAUUGAUAACACUAAUGCUGUAUGAUAGUGACAGAGCAAAUUGUCCCUUUUUACAGAUCUUUUAGACAACUUUAUUUUCUACCAUUGUAUGUGGGAACAUGUUUAGUUUUUUUAGUUGUUUAGUUUUCCACUGAGACCAGAGCCUGAUGAUUUCUCUUGUUCCCUUAAAGUACAUCCAGAAUAUUUAACACACUGGCCUUCCAGCUUAUCACAUGCUUUCUGUUUCUCAGUGACUUUUUUUGAGUUCAAAUCAUUGAGUGCUAAUGCAAAAACCUAAGAGAAUCAGUUCCCCUGUGCUAUGCUUGUGGAAAAAACCUUUGCAAAUAAAAGUCUGAUAUUAAAGUGGGGUGGAGGGAAAAAGAAGGUAACUGUAUUACCUGACUGAUCAGUGCUGCUUUAGUCUGUAUUCAGUAAAUUCACUUAUGAAUGAUAUUUUUCCCUAAAGCAGUGUUUCCCAGAUAUUGAUUGCUGCGGUUGGUAAUGGAUCUAGAGGCCAGCCAGCUUCCAGUGACGCAGUUUCUAGGAACAUGGACAGUGCCAGUCUGAGCUCCAAAAAUCAAUCGCAUAGAGAUGGUUUAUGGUUUGUAACUGUCAGAAAUAGUGGCAGCAGUGUGGCAUUACAGGACGCUGCCCUGUGUCUGUAGACAAAGUGUGUUUUCUGGAAGAGCAGGAUCUUUCCCUCUGCAGAUUUUGGGUACCUCACCUGUUACCAGAGAGAGCAGAGCUGCUUAAGAGCUCAUGGGAGGAAGGACUAGUGAUUGCCAUGCAUGUCUCUUUUCCCUCUGUCAUAAUUGCCUGGGCAGUUAUUUCUCUUCCUACCUGGCAAAACUGGCUGUGUAACACUCAGUGGUGCCAGUGCUCAUCUCCUUCUGUUCCUCAGGGAAACUUACUGUGUCUCAGCCUAGUUUUUUCCCCUUUUUUUUGUCUGAAAAGCCUGGUUCCUUAGUGGGGGUCACAAGCACCACAAAUCUCAAAACGGGAAGGAAAAAAAUAUGUUACUAUUCCAGAUGCUGUUGCUCUCAUAGUAUCAUUGAAUGUUGCUUAUCACACUGCAAUUUAAGUGGAAUGGAAUCUCUUGAGGGACUUAAAAUAACUUUAUCACCAAAUGAAGGAAAGUUUAGUGAGCCUGUCUGUGCUGUUUUCAGUUAGAAUCUCUGGUAGCACUGAGCAGUCUGUCCAGGAAGCUGUUUCCGUAUCAUCUACAGUUUGUCUUAAACUCUACACCCAUUUGAUAGCAGGUAAUGAACAGGUUUUGCUGACAUUCUUCAUAUACAUUCUCUCAUCUUUCCCCAGUAAUUAGCAUGACACAUAGAAGCACAGAGAGGUAGAGUGGCUCAUGCAGACUAAUUUACUCAGUGUUUGGAUUUCAAUGAAUAGCUUAUAAAAAGAUAUGUAUGCUCUCUUCUAUCCCCUUACCUGAGAUAUUCAGUCCACCUCCCUCAGCUUUCUACCAUGACAGCUUGCUUCUAUGGUUGUGAGAGCAUAAGCUGCCUGUUCUGUCUCAGAUGUGCAUCUGACCUUGAUUUCAGAGGCAAAAAGAGAAUGAAAGGAGAUUUGCAGCCAAAAUCAGUUAAUAAUGAGGUGAAAUUAUGUAGGACAAAUCGACUUUAAAAGGAUAAAUGAAGUCAUGUGGAGUUGUGUAAUAUUGCAGUCAGUCUACCACCCACAUCCAAGCUAGUUCUUUAAAUUUGCCUAUUUUUGGGACCAUGGACUUCUGAAUAGUUGUGGCCCUCUGAUCUAUAUGCCCAAAUCUUGAGAUCAGGACCACAGGCAUCUACUUAUUGAGGAGCAAUAAGAAGGGUGAUCUGGAAAUCGUAUGAUUUCCAUGCAUAUGAUGCUACCUCCUGAGAGAUCCUGUCACUGUACCCUAGGGCUAAGUCUGGUGUGCAGCUGAGUCCUGCAUCAGGCUGGCAGUGUUCAUCUUGGCAAUUCCUUUUGCUGUAUUUCCCUUGUAGCUGGGAUCUGGAUUGCCAGCACUGUGCUGCUCUUGGUCAUGGCAUUUGUUUUGGCAGCAGAUGUUAUCCCUCUUAGAAAAAAGAUGCCCCAGUAAAAGGUUGGAUGGAACCUUGAGCAAGCCUGAUCUGGUACAUGGCAAUCCUGGGGAGUGUAAGCUCAAUGAUUUUUAAUGUCCCUUUCAACCUAAGCCACUCGUUGCUUCUAAAUGGAGAAAAGAAUGAGGAGGGAAUUAUUUUCUGCAGGAGUCGUGUCUUACUCAGGCACAUUAGCUUAUCACCCAACCAUAUCCAACAAGUAAUACCACUGUGCGGGGCUCCUGAAUUCCAGCCCUCAGGCAGCAGCCUGCUUUGUGAUCUCUCAUUCAUCUCCAAAGACAAGUGUAGUGGGCUGGAACCAGGACAGACAGUUCAGAUUAAUCAGGCUGUGAGCCUAGAGUUUACAUGGUCAGGGGUAAGUGUGUUCUUGAAAUAGGAUUGGCCCAGAUCAAGGAGAAGUAAAGCACAGUUUGUAUGUUUUGAUGUAAGAUUAAAGUCAGAGAAAUGUGAACAAAAACAGACCGAGAUUUUUAAGAUGUUUAUAUUUUUAUUUUUUAUAGAAAUCCUGACAGAGUGUUUUUUUUUCUGAGUGCUCUAAAAUGCAUUGGAACCUGACCUACUUUCUUCUCAGGUUUACCUACCUACGUUUUCCGUAGCUCUGGAGGACAUGUCAGCUGCAGACAAGAAGAAAAAAAUGCACUAGCUUCAUAAAAUUACAAUACGAUCUCUUAGUUUGGCUGGUGAUUGCAUUCUAAAAGGUAUCACAGCCAGGACACAGAGUCAACUGCAAGAGAUAAGAGGGCUGCUCCCAAAGUAAUGCCUUCUAUUUUAUUAUUUUGGCUCACAAUGUCAGAAUCAGAUGUUGAUGAUAUGGCAGUAGAGAUUGAAUCUUCCCACCAAUGUUUCAUUGCAUUUUGUUGCUGUGUGACAAAUGGCAGCAGAGAGGCAGUCUGACAGAAUGAUGUUUGACAUGGAAGUGCAUAUGAAGCAAAGGUGUGACAUUGAAUUCCUCUAUGUGGAAAAAAAUGACAUCCACUGACAUUCAUGGAUACUUACUGAACGUUUCUGGAUAUCAAACGGUGAAUGUUGGCACAGUGAUGCUGUGGGUGGUGCAUUUCAGUAGUGGCAACAGUGGGUCAACUCCACUAGUACAGAUUUUUACAAGUGCAGAAUGCAGGCUUUUGUUCAUCACUGGUAAAAAUGCAUAGUUACUGGUGGUGACUGCAUGGAAAAGUUUUCUGUAGCUGAGAAUUUGCUCUGUCAACUAGUAUUAUCGUGCUUUUUGUAUCUGCUGUAGUUUCCAUGGAAAUAAAUAGGAGGCGUUACUUUUGGAGUGAUCUACAUAAUGUUCUCAGGCUUGUUCACAUAAACAAAUCCAUUCCUUUCUAAACCAUGAAAGUGUCUGUGUGUGGAUGUGCACAGGUUUAAUAGUACAGAAUUAUCUAUAAAGUAUGUGAGAUAGUGUUUUGAGAGAGGAAAUAAGAAGGAAGGAAACAAUGAGGAGCUCUGGAAGGCAGAAAAUGCUAUUUUCGAGUUGGAGUCAGUAUGCCAUAAGUAUCUAAUUUCACAGAUACUUAAUGUCACGUAUAUCAUGCUCUCAUAGAUUUUUAAUACACUUUAUUUUUGUACAUGCUAGUAACAUGCCACAGUAUACUUCUAAAAACCACAAAAAGACAACAUUAAUGGGAUUCUAACUUACUUGAUUUUCUGGGACUUGACUGCAAGAAUAGCUCAAAAAGCUAAAAGAUGACCUGGUGUUUGAGAGAGAUAAAGGGACCUUGAUUGUAUAUUGAUACUAAUUUUCAUUGAGAUCAUUUGGCUGCAGCAUCCAAAGAGAACAUUCUCAUUAACUAUUGCUCAGUUAAAAUGUAAUAACUUGGAAAAAAAAAAAAAAAAGGCAAAAGUGACUGAAAUACAGUGUCUGGAUGCAGCUAGGUUUUUGGCCAUCUUGGGUUCCCAGUCCUCUGUAUUCUAUGCACAAUACUUUGGCCAGAACAAAAUACUAUAGAUGUGAGAAGAAAAUGUACUGCAUCAUCGUGAUCUAAAGCACAUGUCUCAGCCACUCCAUCUUUCCUCAAAAUUUAGCCAGUGGCAACACAUUAUAACGCUUAUGAGUCCAUUCAGCACAGGGCUGUGUUACACGUGUAUGCUGGCCUAUUCAUUAAAAUUCAGAAGUUGUAAAGCAUUAAACUUGCCUACUACAAGGAUUUUUUUGUAUGGAUAGUCCAGACAGGCUCAUAAAAGUCCCCGGUGCUUUACAUUCUAGAUUGAACUCUACGACAAUAAAGCUCCUUGAAAUUACAUGUAUAUGGAACUAAACUAAAUACCACAAUGUAAAGAAAACUGCCAAAGCACCACACUGUGUUCUUAAAUGGCCAACUUAAUCACUCUCAGUAAGGUUAGUAUCUGUGCACUAGCUGAAUUAAGCUGUUCUUAUAUUUCACAGCUAGAGUUCCAGUAAAAUUGGAGCAUGAUAUUCAAAUACCUUCCUCUCCAUUGAAGAUUUUACUCAUAGUCUCAAAAUAAAUGUUUUCUGGAAAUAAUUUUUGUGAAGAAAGCUAAUAUGAAUAAGUGUAGGGUGUACAAUAGACUGCCUUUUAGCUAAUCCAUCUAUUUUAUCAUUCUUACCUGAGAAGAAGCAUUUUUUCUUCACCUUUCAUGAAAGUUUCAGUGUUAGAUUUGCACAUUCUAUAAAAUACUUACAUGUGUAACACAGCAAGUAUGUGCAAUCCUGCUGAUGCAACAAAUGCUGUGAAAGAACUUUCAGACCUUGUGGCAAAGCAUCAUCUGUGACAGCCACAGAGUCAGUCUGCAGGUAGGUGCAUGUCAGGUAAACCAUGGCUUUUCAGAUUUCACAUUUUUAGAAAUGAUUCAGAGUACUUACUGGAACAAAGUAGCUAAUGAUCUUGUCUAAAUAAUUAUGACAAGAAUAGAUGAUAUGAUUUUCCUAGCUGAAAUUACAGUAGUAAAAAGUAGGUAAAUCACUGAGUCUUGAAUUAUGGUUUGGGGACUGCUUUCUUUUUCUUUUUCUUUUUCUUUUUCUUUUUCUUUUUCUUUUUCUUUUUCUUUUCCUUUUCCUUUUCCUUUUCCUUUUCCUUUUCCUUUUCCUUUCCUUUUCCUUUUCCUUUUCCUUUUCCUUUUCCUUUUCCUUUUCCUUUUCCUUUUCCUUUUCCUUUUCCUUUUCCUUUCUUUCUCUUCCUCUUCUUCUUCCCCUUCCCCUUUCCCUUUUCUUUUUUUUUUUUUAAUUGUUUCACUUAAAUCCUCAGCCAAGAUCUCAUAGAUGUAUUUGUAAAUGCUUAUACACACACGCGUAUACUUUAGCUUCUAUGUGCACACUAUAAAUUAUACCUUUUAAAGAUGAAUUCCUUUACCAACUUGAGAUUCUGUAGCAAUCCCUGUAAACUAGAAAAUGCAGCAACAAUGAGUAAUCACUGGAUUUCCACGUGCUUUCCAUUUUAACAUUUAAAUGGAAUUUACAUUUAAAAGUUCCUUACAUUUUCACUUCAGCAUUUCCUAUGUCCCAUUCAGCAUCAUCCUUGUUGGAAUUAUGGUGACCUCUGGCAGACAAGCAAGUAGGAAGUUGGGAGUCAUGAAUUCUGACACUGUUCCAAUGCCAAAUGUGGCACAAUGGGUCGAAGUUACUUUGAGGGUGUCCAUAGCUGCACUGAGGAAACCACAACUCUGCAGGUAUCUGCUUGCAAAAAUAGUAUUAUUUCACGAGGCAUGUUCUCUGCUAUUUGUGUAUGAAUGGGACAAGUAUACUGACAACACAGUUUGACAGAAUGGAUAAACAAAUCUGUAUCCUUCUUUGACCAGGACAUCACAUCCUAAAAAUAUGUAUGACAGAGCUGCAGUUUACACUAUAUUUCUUUCGUCAGUUGGACUUUAUAGCCAAUAGGAAAGAAGCAUAGUGUUGUUCCCUGCCUGGAUUUAUGGCCUUGCCUUCAUUAUUUCUAUAAUUCUUUAUUGCUGCAAGUCCUGGGAAAGCUUAUAUUUCAGCAAGAUGCAACUGAGUCCUCUAAGAGUGAUGACCAAUCAGAUGAAAGCCUGUCCCGAUGUAUCCUGAGGCAUUUGUUCAGGUCUUGCCCUGGACUGAUGCAGGCAGCCACUUCCUAUGGCCCUGCUAUGGUUGGACAACACGUAUGGAAAUGAACAGGAAGGUGCUUUCCUAAUCUGACACUACUCUGAAAAAGAAUUACAAGAACUACUAUUUCAAUCAAAAAAAUGUUUGACCUUGCUUAUAUGGACUUGGAUCAAAAUGACAGUGUAAAGAACAAUAUAUUCAGUUGCUCAGCAAAGCCCAUAGAAUUCUGCAUACUGCUUGGAAAUGCAACCCCAGUAAAAUCAGGGAAUUAGGAGCUGUGUCGGAAAACAUAUCUGGACUCCAUUUCACAUAUUCUCUGAGAACCCUUCGUUUGGAUGUGAGGAAAUGGAUGUGUUUGAGAGAAAGGGCCACCAAGAGAGGAACAUCAGGGCACCAUGUCUGGGGCUUGAGGAUCUGAGCUCAAUUUUCACUUCUGAUAGAGCUUUCUUGACUCAGUGUGAACAGUUUACUUUUUCUUGUACUGCUUCUGCACUUGGAAAAUUGGACUACUCCUGAACAGAACUGUUGGAAGGCUACAUUAUUCUUGGUGGGGUGCUCAUACAUGGCACUCUGUGACUGCAAAAUACAGGCUUGUCAAGAUCUGAAUGACAAAAAGGAGCUUCAUUUUUUUGGUCUAUUACUUUCCCUUGCAUGGCAGAAUGAAUAUUGGUUACAUGAAGAUUUGAACAAUAUUAUGUGAAAGCAAAAAUAAGAAGGAAAAAAAGAAAUAUUCUGUCAAGAGAACUUUUCUGAGAUCUGAUCCCUCUUGCAAAUAAAAUUAAUUGUGGCAUGUAGUAAUACAUUAAUUUCCUUGUAAAAUAGCUGAGCCAGUUUUUAAUUGUCUGCUUACAAAGAUUUGCACUGAACUAGAACUGAUCUUCCUAUUAUUUUCCUUUCAAGAAAAUAUGCUGUACAUAUUUUCUUGACUGAGUGCCUACUACGUUUUGUAUUUUUUGUCAUAUGCUAGCAUCUGAUAUGUUUAGUUAAAUACUUUGUAGGUGUUACUGUUCCCUAGAAUGAAAGAUCUAGACUUUAGAGCAAAACAUAUUCCUUCUUCUGAUAUAAACCCUGUACUUUUUAAAAAGCAUGCAGUUUAAAAAAAAAAAAAACACCAAAAACAAACAUAUGUACCUUGAGUGCCAUUUCUGGGAGUGAAUUGUCACGUACUAUUGCUACAGUGUAGGAAAACAGCCACCAUUUUUGUGCUAAAUUUCAAGUGUAGCAAUAGAGUGACUAUUAAACCGACAGACAGACAAUGUAAAUCUAGAAGCAAGUAAUAUGUAUAUUUCAACCAUCUGGGCUUUUGCUCUUUUCAAUAUUUGUUUGCUAGUUCAUUCUCCUAUCUAUAAUCUAGAGGUUUAUGGCAAAGUAAACCUAUAAAUCCUAACAACCAUAUUUUCAUUUGGAAGCUGGACCAGCUGUCAAUAAACAUCGAAAGAACUGCUCAGUCUUCAGAGGACGUGUGUUAAAAGAGAGGGUUCAUGCAUAACAAAAUUGCUGGAGUAAAAAUUCUUUAUUGAGCUUAUUCGUGGCUAUUAUUGCUCAUGAACCUUGCAGGUCUCCCCAGAUAUUGGGUGGCUGAAAACUUAAAAUGCCAUCUCUCUGAAGAUUUUUCUGCGUGUGUCUUACUUUAGACCUGCAUUUCAGCAUGGUCUUCAUCUUUUAUAUUGAUCGAAAGUCUUUUUAGGUCUAGGUCUACGACCCCUCCAAUGGCAAAGAGUCAUUUCAAACUUGACAAAAGUUGGUUGAUGUCAGUGAAUAUGCAAAUACUCAACUACAAUCUUUCUACUGAAUUCUGUGUAUUCUGCCUCACUUCCUUGGGGUGAAACACUGCCCCUGUGAGUAACAUAAAUGUAUAUUUCCCCACAAUUUUUAAUUCAAUUACUGAGACUAGUCAUGAGAUCAACAUAGUAAUCAGUACGAGUGUGAAGAAUCUGCAAUGAAUGUAGUCAUUACCAUCACAUAGUCCACAAUUUAAAUUUAUCAUUUCACUGUGUGGUAUUUUAUGAUCAGGAAGUAAGAGAGUAACAGUUUUAUUUUGGGAGUAUACUGCUUACUUUUGUUUGAACAGUCUACAUUUUUACAAUAUUUAUGCACCAAUUUAAUGUGUGAUAUGUAGCUGAAAAUGAAAAGGCAUAUCUAAAUCUUAAGCAGUUUUUGUGCAGAAGGAAGUCCUAUGAUUUUGCAAAAAAUGUAUACAGUUUAAGGCAGUAGAAUUACAAAUGUAAUAUAGAAAGGCUAUGCUAUGCUACGCUAUGCUACGCUACGUUACGUUACGCUACGUUACGUUAUGUUAUGUUACGUUACAUUAUGUUAUGUUUGUGGUCUGAUUUUCAAAAAUUUUCAGUCCUUUGGAUACGAUAAGUUAAUUAUGACAUUUAAGUAUCUUGGCAAGUAAUAGUUUUGGAUUUGACAGGCCAUGGAUUUUAUGUUCUAUUUAUGUGCAGGAUUUCUAGGUGCCAGGCACUACGCUUACAUGAAAGCUGAUUCUCUUUGGUGCUAGCAAUACAAGUACUCAUCUACAUCUAAACUUCUUUUUCAAAAUGCAUAUUGGCUGAUGUUUAUAGACAGCCUAAUAGAAGACGAAAAUAUUUAACAUGGAAUGUCACCCAUAGUAUUAGUGUUAUCUCAAGUGAGGUUUGCCUUGCAUUUUCAGAUGAUUUCAGAAUGUUUUCCUGGACAGACCAUAUUAUCCUGCUACUCAGGUGCUCCAAGUCAUUGUCAUUAAGCUGACUCCUGCGAUUCUUUUAUCCUGUACACCGACUUUGUGGUCAAGGUAACUGCACUAUAUAGCAGCAUUCCCAAGCUCGCUUGUGUGUAGGUGUUUUACACAAGAGUACUAUGUCAUGCACACCAAUGUAAGUAGUACAAGUUUUCAGGAGCAGCUGGACAACUGCACUCUGCCCAAGUUCACUAGCAUACAGACUGCGCUGGCACUUCCUGGAUGCCAUGUAGACCUGCCUGUCAGAGCCUACCAUCUGAGGAGAAUGAGAACAGCAUCCAAUAAUAAUAUUCUGUGAUAUUCAACAGCAGUUCCAUCUUCAGUUAUAAACAAUUUGCAGCAAAACAGAAAAGUACCUACUGUUCCCAUUUUUUUUUUUCCCCUGCAAACUCAUGCUUCUUUAAUCUUCUUAGGAUUUUUCUCAGUUUGUUUUUCAGGAGUUUAUUUGAUUUAUGGUUUUAUUAAUUUUCCAAGAACUUUUGCUAGUAGUAUGAUUUGCCUGUGUUUUUCCAACAGGAAAUGAGAUCAAGACUGGUGUGUGAUGCCAAUUUUCAAAAUUUUAUUAACAGCAGAGAAAUGUUUCUUGGAGAAAAGUUGGGUUUUGCCACCUGUGUUCUCAGUCCUGAAGAUAGUUUUCUCUGAGUACUUGAGCAAAUAACUUCACAACACUCCACCUCAGUUUCCUACUUUUUAAAAAUGGGGAUAAUAAUACUUGACCCAGCCUAGAAAAACAGUUGAAAGUACAAAUGGGAGUGAUAGCUGUUAUAUCUGAGCCAAAUCUUGAAACCUUGUUGAGGUUUUCAUAAAGUAGCUUUUGAUGUCCUAUUCAUCAUUCUCCAGAGUUUAGGGAAAAAAGCAAAAAAAAAAAAAAAAAAACAACAAACAUCUAACUGAUUUUGACAGAAUCCUUCACUUCAGUUUUCACUUGGAUAGCAUCUAAGUUGUCAGCCAGAGUUUGCUUAUGUGCAUGCUGAGCAAAAACUAUUAUGCCUUUAUUACUGAAGUCUCUGGAGGAGUAAGUCACUUUUUACUACAGUCUGAGAGAAUGUCCCCUCUGUCAUCCACUGGAUUCAACGUGUUGGAUUGGUUGUUCAAGAAGAAAAAAGGCAACCAAAACCCAAACUGAAAUACCACAUUACUCAAUGGAAAUUUACUUCCAAAUGUUUUCAGUGUUUUUAGGGUUACCCUUGUUACAGAACAGCAGUUGCUUCUUCCAGUUGGCUCUAACACAGUACAAAAUGUCUCCUUACACAAGUCUAAUGCUAGCAAAAAUCACAUUUCUUUACUAAAACAUUCUAACUCUACUGUGAUUCAUUUUUUUACUCAUAGCAUACAAUUACCUCUCUUAGAAUGAAUAUCAGUCUCUUGAUAGAGGUAAAAUACCAGAAUCAUGUCCUGUCUCCUGGAAUUUUUGUCUGAUAGCUGUUCAAAAGUCUGGCCCUAAGCCAUCCAAGUAUUGAAUUUAGAGCAGAUGUUGAGGGUGUUCUAACUCUCAAUCUGCUAGAAGUAAUAUUUAAGAAAAUUGGAACAAGCUAAUCAAUUUUAAAAAGAGUAUUCAACUCAUACUUUUUCUUCCUAAUUCCACUAGCAAAAGGAAAAAUAUCAAUUCAAGUUCCAGUCUUUCCUUCAACCACUUCAGUGUGAUCAGAGAGCUUUUCUUGUCUCUGAAGAAUUGACUCACAAUGAUUCUUUUUAGAACAGGUUAUUUUGAUUGCGCUUUCUGCAUAUAAAACUUCCUUCUCUAACACGUGUAUAUUUGCAUUCCCAGUUUAUUAUAGUCCCGUUGCUGUUCUUAGUGGACCUGUGAUGUUUACAGAGUGAAAAGAAGAGGGAACUUGUUUUUAGUACCAUAUUCUUUGUGUCAUAUGACACAGUAACAGGGAAGACUGAUUUGGCUGUGAAAACUGUGCAUAGAAGGCCUGAGAUAAUGUGCUGAUACUGUAUCCACAGGGAGGAUGCAGUGAGAAAAUCCUUGAAGCUCCCUAUAAACAAGGUCACUGUUUUAAUGACAGUGUGUGGAAAUUCACAUUUAGUCUCCAGAAGAGAACUCUUUUUUCUGUAAGUUAUGGAAAAAAUCCAUGCAGGUAGUAAUAUUUUUUUAUAUGCCAAUAGAUCCCAAAACACCUUAUAAAAGCAUCCAUCUAUAGGAAAACAAACAAGCCUCUGUAGGGUCAAGACAUGAUCCCCACAGAUAACCAGUGCAGAGAAAACACAGAUUAAAAAAAACACAGAUUCUUAGUAAAACAACCUGCAUUACCAGUGUGACACAGACAUGAUCAUGUUGUCAAGGUUUCUUCAGUAGUUCUCUUAAAACAACCAAAGUUAAAGAGGUAACAUCAGGUUUGUCAGUCUGGAUUGUACACGUUCAAGUAGACAGUGGAGUUGAACAGUGUAACAGAGAAAUUAAUUGAGCCUUUUUUCUAAGUAACUGAUUUUUAGGGUGCUACACCAUUGUAAAAUUGAAUAGCAUAUGUGAAUUAUGAAUUAUGGAAUUAAAAAUUGUGGAUCAAAGUAGCUAGUACUUUAAGGGCUACCUUAACCGUUAAGUUGGAAAGAAUCUUCUUGAAUACAGUUAAGUCUGACUAAUGUUUCAUAGGAAGCAGAGACUGUGCAAUAGGUUUUUUUAUAUGGAACAAAACCUAUUAAGCACCUCAUGAUGUGAAGGCAAUUCCAAAUUAUAUGAACAGAAUUUUCUUGAUUUACAGGCAAUGCAUUCUUUAAUGUUACAACGAGUGGCCACCAGGAUGGUUUGGAGCCAAAACAACGUUCAAGUAGUCCCACCCUUGUAAUUUUCUAGCCUGGUUUUGGAUUCAGACACUUAGAAUUCCAUGUCUAGUGAAAAAAAGAAAAAAGAAAAUAACUGUUUCUUCUUUGUAGUUCAACGGUGUUGUCUUUCUGAAAAACAAGUUCAUGUAACUCAGCGAUACUUUAAAGGGAAAUGGCCAACAUAAACUUUAUCAUUUUUUUAAUCUGAAUCAUAUCUCUUUUUAAGAAUCCACUAAAAAACAGUUCUUGCAAAUUCAUUUUGGUCUCCAUGAUGCAUGCGAGGUAGGACAGGGUUGACCAGCUGCAGUUAGCCUACUGCUAAGCUCAGCCAAUUGGUUGCUCCAUACUCCAAGCAGAUGUUUCUCCUUUAUACUGAUGGAACUCUUGUAGACCAUAUCCUUUUGCAAGAGAAACACCAGUGCAGUUGGAAGCUGGGAGGACUCAUCUCAACAACAGAACCAAGGUGACAGAAGCAUCAGCAACAGUUUAUUAAUAAAAAUUCAUGAAAAGAAGAGCACUUGCAUUUUGUUUGCAACAAAUCAAAACAAAACAUUUUUUCUUAGCUUUUUUCUUCUGUGCAAGGUGCUAUUAGAAGUAGCAUUGCUUUUUCCUGUAGCAAUUUACAUCUGUGUGAGAGGAAAGGUAGGGAAUCUCUUGCCGUUAUCUGUAUGGUUUCUGUAUGCUGAUCACAAAAUGGGAGAGUGAUCUGCAUUUAUGUAAAUUUUUGCUAUUAAGAUUCAUGUAUCAUAUCUGAUAAUUGAUAUGCUUUAGCUAUAUUCUAGUCUAAAAUAACUAAAUUAUAUUAUACUUCAAGAGUAUAGAUUAAAUGUGAUUUGAGUCUUAU